rnacentral:lncRNA from 10 species
GUAGGUUAGUCAUAAAGCCACAUUCACUCUCUUGCUUUCUCUGUCGCAUGCACUCUCUUGCCCUUCCACCUAGUUUCCAUGUUAUGAUGCAGCAAGAAGGCCCUUGCCAGAUGUGGCUCCUGGAUUGUGGACUUUUCAGCCCCCAGAACUGUGAGCCAAACAAACUUCUUUUGUUCAUAACUUCCCCAGUCUGUGAUAUCCUGUUACAGCAGCAGAAAAUGGACUAAGACACCCAGGGAUGUACCUGGAACCUGGAAAAAGGAAAGGAGGCACUGAGGGACUCACAUGAAGCUACUCUGUCAGCAUUCUAAAACUUCUGACAUUCUUUUCUAUGAAGAUAAUUGAAUCACCAAAUUUGAUGAAAUGUUCCCCAAAUAUCAGGUGAAAAAAACUCAUCUAAACCUUUGGACUUGGAAUUGCCCACAUAGACCACAUCAGCAAUGGAAGACAGAGCAAAUAACAUGUCGGUUCAAUGUAUGAAGGAGCUUUUCUUUCCCCUGCCCCAACCCUCAGACAGGUAAAUCUGUGAAAGCUCUAUUUUGAUUCUUUUUAAAUUAUUUGUUUUACAUGUUUUGUGUUUUAUGUUGGCUGAUUCCAAAUGGUUGAAAUAGUGGAGGUCCAACAACCAUUUUCACAGUGUAAUCUUCAGAAGUUCAUCCUUUGGGUUGUAAUUUCAUGAUAAGGAGGAGCAAGAAGAUGCUUUUUGUAACUCAAAUAGCAUCUUCUGAGAAAGGUCUCUAUUUUCACUUGUGUCUUAACUUACAACUGUGUUCAACUCUAUUUCCUUUCCUUGCUUUACAUUUUUUCUUAUGCACCUAUAAUUAUCCAAUUUACUAUAUAUUUUAUAUUUGUCUGUUAUUGUCUGUUUUCUCCACUAAAACAUAAACUUCUUGCAGGAUUUUUGUCUGUUUUUCUCACUGUUGAAUCCCAAAAGCAAAGAAGAAUACCUAGCAUAGAGUUAGUGUUCAAGAAACAUUUGCUAAAUGGAUGAACACCUCUUCAUUUUAUGAGAAAUGAAUCUUCCCCAAGAAGGGGCUCCCGGGUGCAUCUUGUGUGUAGACAUCUCUAUGUCCCCAGGCUGCUGUAGAGCUGAGUCAUCUUUGUGCCCACACCUGGGAAGCAGGACCCUUGUUCGUGUUUCUUUGGCCUUGGGCAUGUCAGUGAGUAAGGAGGAUGUGUGGGAUCUGUGUCCAUAUUUACGUAAGAAAGCAAUAUAGCCUACUGCCCCUUUCAUUUUCAGCAAGUGUGUGUUUACACUGGCCUGGGAUCUACUAUAAAGUUUAAUGUUUGGUUAUACAUUUAUUUCUCAGCUACUUUUGUGAAUAAACAUUUUCUAAAACAUAUCUAUUUUAAAAGUGACAAUGUUUGAAUGAAAGAAAGAGGAGGAGUGAAGCCUGGUAGUUAAUUUGCAGAACUUAGAGCCUGAAUUUUUUGGGUUGGAUCUUUGAUUUUACCAUUCAUUAGUUUUGUGAUCUUCCUCAAUUUCCCAAUCUGUAAAAUGGAAAUAAUAAUAGUACCUACCUCAUGGGAUGUCAAGAGUAAAUAUAAAAAAUGUGUGACACCCAGGAAUGACUAUAUAAGUACUAGCAGUUAAUAUUAUUUAUUAUUAUUAUUCCUGCUUGAAUAAUCACUUUGAGCUAAAUCACUUUGUUUUUACUACUAGCAAUAAGCAUGCUUAAAUACUUUUAAUGUUAUUAUAAUUUGUAUUAUAGUAGACUAAUCUGGAAUUUUAUUAAGCAGAAUUCCCUCUAGACAGGCAUCUAUGCAUACGGAGCAAAAAAUGAUGUAUAUAAUAAUAAGUUUGAGGCACUGAAAGAUCUUGAAUGAGCUUCUGAAUCAUCAGUUACUGUAUCUUUGGGGGUGAGUGAAUUUUAUUACAAAGAAACUUUUUUUUUUUUUUAAAUUUGGUAAUCCUUAAGUAACAAUGUGCAAAUUUCUUUCAAGAAGUGCUGUUGAAUGCUAGGGAUGAGUAGUGUGAUGACUACUCCAAAUUAAGACAAUAAGGCCAGUUUGACAAUCAGCAAUGUGCUAUGCAGCUGAACUGGAGGCACAGUGGUGCUGGUGAAUUGGGCCAGCUCUGGAGAAUUUGAACAUAUAGACAGAGGGCAUGAUGUCUGACUUCUCCAGGCACUAUUGCAUCCCAGUCCGACUUUCCUAGGAUCACUUCAAGUUUGAUCAUAACCCCAAAUCCCUCAGCACCUUCAUUAUCACUCAUAAGCCACAGGGCGCUUGCUGGCAGCCCUUGUUUCUGAUCUGUUUCUCCACCACUGUUACUUGUAUUAUGGCACAUGACUCUGUUCCCAACACCCUCAGGCCUUGGGAAGGGGAUAGGCUGAAAUAAGUAGAUAUUGCUGUUGAAAGAAACAAUUUCAAUGAGGUCUCCCCCCACGCAUCCUUGCUGAGGUCGUGGCGAGACAUAGAUGGAGGGUAGGCAAAAGCAGGAAGAUGACAGCAGAGCAGUAAGGGCUCAGCAAACGAGAGACUAGGGCAGGUGUGUGAAGAAGGGAGAAUGGAAGAGGAAUUGGAUGCAUGAAGGCAGAGAAAGUAGGUGGUGGGCAGAAAUAAUGGGAAAAUGUGAAUCUUCAGAAGUCAAAAUUUAAUGAUGUUUGCUUAACAUUUGCAUAUAUGAUACUACUCCCCAAGUAUGUGAACUAGACAGUUUACAUAUAAGGCAGGAAAAUAGGGUCUGGAGGCAGGGAACAUAAGGCCAAUUCACACUUCAGCUAUGACAGAAAAUAUCUUCUCCAUAGGGCAUAGUUGCUAGGGCCACUCAGAGAGAGAGAAUCCUGAAACCUAGCAUACCAGCUAAAGGGUAAGAAUUUCUUACUAGCCAGUCUCUGGCCUCUUUCUCUCUGUGCAAACUGGCUAAUCUCCAUUGUAAAGUUUUAAAUUAAUUGGUUUAAUAAUAAUAAGAGCUUAAAUCAAAUAUUUCAUCAGGAAAGUAGAAAGCGUAAUGCCUUUUAGUUCACGUGACUUUAGCAAUUUUUGGGAAAUAAAGAGGGUUUUAAAGAUUAUUGGUAAAAUACAAUGUCUUUAAAAUGGAAACAUGUGGUCUAAAUUAUGUUCCAAUAUUAGGUUUGCUGAAUGCUUUAAGGUCAUAAACUGCUUAUUUGGCUUUUGAAAAUUGUUUAACUUGCCUGCUUUCCAGCUAGGUAAGGCCUGGGAACAUGUGGAGUUGGCCAUGCCCCUAGCUAUGCUGCAAACAGUCAAACCUUUUCAGAACAUAACUUACCAGGUUUUACAUUAAAGUUAAAAUUGCUAAGAGUCACCAUUGUAACAUGCAAUUAAGACUACUAGAAACGGUUUUACAUGCACGGUGUGUAAGAAUAGUAGAAUGUAUGUCUCUGUGUGUGUUUUGUAAAAGGUUUUUACUUCUUUAAAAUUUCUGAGUCAUUAUUUUGGCAAAAUAAAUAAUCUGGAAUUCCAAAAUCAAACUUCAGUUUCAAAAUUGUCUUUCCUAAUGCCUGGCUUUCUGGAUGGAUCAGAGGGCCCCUGAAAACAUCCAGAAAGGAGGUAAACAGGAUUAUUUGAUGUGUUUAGGUACAUGGGAUUGCCAAAAUGAUGUUCCGUGUUCUUUAAGUUUUUUUUGUGAAUAAUACUAAUAUAUGUUCCAAAAUUGUAUGGGAUUCCUAAAAUAGUACAUGCUAUCAAUUAUAAUUAUGGGUAUUAUGUUAAGUUAUUGUAAACCACACAAAUAACCAAAUUUCCUUGUAUAAAGCUACUAACCCAAGUAGAACAAAAAUUAAUUAAAUACCAAUAAAAUACUUUGUCAGACUUUCAUGUUAAACCAGCUGAUACUGAAAUUUUUAAGAUAGUUUAUAACCAAUGCUUGGUCCCAUAUUCCUGGGAAGACAAUUAAAGCUUCAUGUACAUUUGGUCACCUUGUGGGCCAUUUAAACAUUUUAUAAAGGGAUUUCAUUCAAUUGUUAUUUCCAAUGCAUGCUUUCUGGUUGUAUAAAAGCUUUCCCACGUGAGAGGGCUGAUGUUAUCACAGUAGAUUAUUAUGCUACAGUGUAUUUGCACCAGGUAAAAAAGCUUUUUAUGGUUUGAAUCUUCUGAGAACACCAGAGAAAGACUCUCCUUACCAUCCUCACUGCAACUAAACUUCGGGACCCUGGGCUUUGGGUUCAUGGUCUCGCCACUGAAAAGGUUCCCUCCACACUUUUGGAAUUGUGCACCCAUUGGAACCCUUGAGGUAAAGCUAACCAGAGAAAUUUCUCCCAAGAAGAAGAAGAUGGCAUCCUUGAAGUGAACAGCUUUUCCCAAGUUCACAGAGUAAGACUUCUACUAUCAUGAAACUCUUAUCUUUGAAUAUUUUUUCUUGCUUAUAUCUCUACUAACAAUAGAAGUGGAAAAAGGGUCUGUUAUGUGCACUUAUGGGGUAUACUUUUAUUUGUGAAGAAGUUUGCAGCCAGCCUUAUACAUGGAUAACCUUCUACUUUGAUAGAGAUGAAGGCCCAAUGCAGGUAAGAAACUUUAGUGGUACAUAUGUUGCCCCAUAAUCACUCAAAAACAAAAUAUUGGUUCAUCCCUCUUAACCCACAUCAUGGGUUAAAGAGAACAUUGCCAGGGGGUCUUCACUCUCCUAGAAGGGCAUCAUUUGUUAAGUCCUUUUUCCAUGGCUUAAAGUAAAGGAAGCAAUGAUUAGAAAUGUAUCCCUCAUGAUAGGCUCUAUAGCAAAUCUACUUUAAAGGCUAUCGUUACACAACAGAUUUUAAAUUCUCUUUGAAAGUUAUGCUAAAUAGAAUUGGCUAAACAAAGAAGUUCUUCUGCAGCUGCUGACACUUGCGGCCUAUGGAGAAACAGGUCAAAUGCAGAUUAUAAAAAUUCAGUGUAGGGGAUUAAUGAAAAGACCACUUAGUCAAGUGAGUAGACUCUUCAUCUAGCUCAUUCUUUAAACUAUUUAAGUGUAGGUGGUUUGGUUUCUAGGGACCCUGGUUAAGGAGCAUACUCUGAACUCUGGGUAUUUUCCUUCCAGUAGUGAUAAUAGUAGUCUCCUUGGUGCACUGUAUUCUCUCAAAGGUUUUAAAUGCUUGCAUGCAGCCAUCUCUAGAACAUCAAAUGGUCUCUCUUCGACUGGAAUGACAACAGCUGAAAGAAAUGUUCAACCAUGAGGACACCAUACCUAUAAAUGAUGUGCUGAGACUGGAAACCCAAAAUAGACCAUCAAGCUUCAGAUGAUGAUGCAACAAAGGUUUCAGCCAGUUCCAGGUGAAGACACCACCCUUGGACAUCAAGAAGCUACCCUGCCUCCACUAGAUAGAGCAGGGAGAGUUCUGUGAUCCCCAAUAGGGCCUUUGUAGACGCUAUCCCUUUGUGGAGAAGACUCUCAACACCCUUCAAAUACUAUGAUCUCAUCAGGAAGGCCCUCCCUGACCACCUAUGCCUGGCUGUUGUCUGAACAAUGAAUCCUGGAAGCACCUAGGAGAAGGCACCUAGGAGAAACGUCUUAGGGAGUAGUCCCGCGGGUCCGCCCCAGGACAGUAACGCUGUCAGUUUCCCCGCCCUUUGCACCUGUAGUGCAGACGGUACCAAAUGCGAUGGCUUUGAGACGUCCUCUAGACAUCGGAGCCCAUCAUUUACCACAAAGAACACUGAAGUACUUACUUUAGCAGAACAUUUUCCGAAGAAAAAUUAACAGGGAGAGGAAAUGAAGGACACUAACAAACAGACCCCAUCUCUAGAGUCUGAGAUCAAACCCAAGUCCGAUGGAGCCCGGGCAUCUGGUGGAGGAAAGCGGGCAGGCAUAGCCCCAAUCCUGGUCCUCAACAAGAUAUUUCUGUGAAUGAAUCCCUCUGCUCCCUGGAGGAGGGCACAUUACAUAUCCCUUUCCUAAAUCAGAACUGAAGCAAUUUGCCCAUCAUUCGCACACCUCGACAGGGAAAGGCAGGAUUCCAGUGUCUCAUCAGACCCGGGAAGAGGGGAAGGGUCGCUGGCGCAGUUACCUACUGGGUUUCCGGGAGCUAGGGAAAACGCCCCUGGGAAACGCAAGUGUUCAGCGCCACAUAAAACUUCCCCGGAUUUAGGGCCACCCUAAGACGGGCGAAAAGACUCUCCAGCGCCUUAGCAGGUGCAAAGCCAGCUGUCAGUGUGCGCAUGGCGAGUCCCCGUUCCCGAGAAGGGACGCAAAUGACCCUAGAAAAUCAGACAGGAGCAAAACAAACCCAAGAAUGACCCUCCACACACCACAAAGGCAAAAGCAAACAGAAGGCACCUAGACACACUCUGCAAAGUGUAGAACUGUCUACACUUGCAUGGAGG